CUCGCGAUAGCUCAGUUGGUAGAGCGGAGGACUGUAGUGAGUUGUUUAGAACUGUAAUCCUUAGGUCGGUGGUUCGAAUCCGUCUCGCGAGA
rnacentral:tRNA from 1 species